ACGUAGGUGGCAAGCGUUGUCUGGAUUUAUUGGGUUUAAAGGGUGCGUAGGCGGUCCUGUAAGUCAGUUGUGAAAUACGGCAGCUUAACUGUCGAGGUGCAAUUGAUACUGCGGGACUAGAGUACUGAUGAGGUAAGCGGAAUGGACGGUGUAGCGGUGAAAUGCUUAGAUAUCGUCCAGAACACCGAUAGCGAAGGCAGCUUACUAAGGAGUAACUGACGCUGAGGCACGAAAGUGUGGGGAUCAAACAGGA
rnacentral:rRNA from 1 species